rnacentral:rRNA from 1 species
GGCUUCGGCCUGGUGGCGAGUGGCGAACGGGUGAGUAAUACAUCGGAACGUACCCAGAAGUGGGGGAUAACGUAGCGAAAGUUACGCUUAAUACCGCAUACGUUCUACGGAAGAAAGUGGGGGAUCGCAAGACCUCAUGCUUUUGGAGCGGCCGAUGUCUGAUUAGCUAGUUGGUGAGGUAAAGGCUCACCAAGGCGACGAUCAGUAGCUGGUCUGAGAGGACGACCAGCCACACUGGAACUGAGACACGGUCCAGACUCCUACGGGAGGCAGCAGUGGGGAAUUUUGGACAAUGGGCGCAAGCCUGAUCCAGCAAUGCCGCGUGAGUGAAGAAGGCCUUCGGGUUGUAAAGCUCUUUUGUCAGGGAAGAAACGGCAGGGGCUAAUAUCCUUUGCUAAUGACGGUACCUGAAGAAUAAGCACCGGCU